UACGGAGGGUGCGAGCGUUGUCCGGAAUCAUUGGGCGUAAAGGGCGCGUAGGUGGCCUGCUAAGCGUGCGGUGAAAGUCGGGGGCUCAACCCCCGAUCGGCCGUGCGAACUGUUUUGCUUGAGCACUGUAGAGGCAGGCGGAAUUCCGGGUGUAGCGGUGGAAUGCGUAGAGAUCCGGAAGAACACCAGUGGCGAAGGCGGCCUGCUGGGCAGUUGCUGACACUGAGGCGCGACAGCGUGGGGAGCAAACAGG
rnacentral:rRNA from 1 species